AAAUUGAAGAGUUUGAUCAUGGCUCAGAUUGAACGCUGGCGGCAGGUCUAACACAUGCAAGUCGAACGGUAACAGGAAGCAGCUUGCUGCUUUGCUGACGAGUGGCGGACGGGUGAGUAAUGUCUGGGAAACUGCCUGAUGGAGGGGGAUAACUACUGGAAACGGUGGCUAAUACCGCAUAACGUCGCAAGACCAAAGAG
rnacentral:rRNA from 1 species